UACGUAGGGGCCGAGCGUUGUCCGGAGUUACUGGGCGUAAAGCGCGCGUAGGCGGGUUGGUAAGUCCGCUGUGAAAGCCCGGAGCUCAACUCCGGAGGGUCGGUGGAUACUGCCAGUCUUGAAGGUGCUAGGGGGAGAUGGAAUUACCGGUGUAGCGGUGAAAUGCGUAGAUAUCGGUAGGAACACCAGUGGCGAAGGCGGUCUCCUGGGGCAUUCUUGACGCUGAGGCGCGAAAGCUGGGGGAGCGAACGGG
rnacentral:rRNA from 1 species